rnacentral:tRNA from 1 species
UCUAAUAUGGCAGAUUAGUGCAAUGAAUUUAAGCUUCAUAUAUAAAGUAAAAAUGCUUUUUUUAGAA